AUCGCUUCUCGGCCUUUUGGCUAAGAUCAAGUGUAGUAUCUGUUUUAUCAGUUUAAUAUCUGAUACGCCCCCGAUUCGGGGGCAACGUAUUAAACGCAUUUUUAGAACAGGGAGCUGAAUAAGGGGCUCGCUCCGUUCGCUCCACGCAUCGACCCGGUAUUGCAGCGCCUCCGGGAACGGUGCCCCCUUU
ensembl:snRNA U2 U2 spliceosomal RNA